GAUGAACGCUAGCUACAGGCCUAACACAUGCAAGUCGAGGGGCAGCAUUAUUUUAGCUUGCUAAAAUAGAUGGCGACCGGCGCACGGGUGAGUAACGCGUAUCCAACCUGCCGUUAACUCAGGUAUAGCCUUGCGAAAGUAAGAUUAACACCUGAUAGUAUCGGAAUCCCGCAUGGGAAUCCGAUUAAAUGUAAAGGUAAACGAUGGGGAUGCGUUCCAUUAGAUAGUAGGCGGGGUAACGGCCCACCUAGUCGACGAUGGAUAGGGGUUCUGAGAGGAAGGUCCCCCACAUUGGAACUGAGACACGGUCCAAACUCCUACGGGAGGCAGCAGUGAGGAAUAUUGGUCAAUGGAUGAGAAUCUGAACCAGCCAAGUAGCGUGAAGGAUGACUGCCCUAUGGGUUGUAAACUUCUUUUAUUCGGGAAUAAAGUGCGCCACGUGUGGUGUUUUGUAUGUACCGAACGAAUAAGCAUCGGCUAACUCCGUGCCAGCAGCCGCCGUAAAAC
rnacentral:rRNA from 1 species